UACACUCUAAAAUACGUCUAUAUACAUCCAUAUGCAGUCUUUUUGAAAUCACUAGGAAGACAUAUAAUUAGGAAUGGAGGGAGUAAUAGUGAAUAACAUGGUAUACCUUAGAGCGGUUGGAUCUGCUUUGCUAAUGGCCUGAUCGGGCGCUCUGCCAUGACACGAAGGGGACUGCCAUUGGCAACCUGGCAUGUCAUUAUGGUGCGCUCGGAGAUGACACGACGUGGAUGACAUCUCGAGUGGAGACAGGAGAGCGGAGCUCGCCGGCGAAACAGCGACUUGCAAUCAGAUCCGGGGGGUCGGGAAGAUUGGAUCUUGAAAGAAAGGGGAAUUAGGAAAGCGAACAGGAGCGCGUUCGAGGCUAGUACGUACGGUUAUGAUGAGUCGAGGAACUAGCGAUUGCGUGCGUGGGCUUGCCGUGCUUACAUCUGCGUGUCCAGCCCAUGUAGUGCUCAGCUCCUUUUCCAAAACAAAAUAAUGCGUAGCUGCGUGUGUGGGCUAGCCUAAGCUAGCAGCGUACGUACCUUGGGUUGGGGCCCCUGCAGCUUGGGGGGCCUGGGGCGGCGGCCCCCUCUGCCCCCCUUCAGUGCCGGCCCUGGAGGAGAGGCUGGCGUGGGGCGCAAGGAGCAGCAGGUGGGGAAUGGUGGGGCUUUAUCUCCCACUGUCCAGCACGGGCCACUGAAGAAGAUGAAGGGAAGCCAGGGCUCCUCAAAUGGCGGCUGCUCCUCUCUGGCUUGGACCAGAAGCCAGGCAGCUGCGUUUGGGUUCAGAUAGAAGAGCUCCAUGCUUACAAACUUUUGGGAUAACCGAGUUUAUCAAUGCCAAAAAAACAAUCAUCGGGUUUUCAAGUGUAGGCAUCUUGUGAAAGCCCAGCAUCAUUUCUAAGUUGUAUGGCAUCCAUCCCAAUAAUUUGUUCUGCACCAUGCUGCCUCAUGUAGGAUUUUGGUGCUCGUGAUCUACUUUGCUUAGGUCCUGCAGGAGCGCGGCGCUUUGCUGACCAAGAAGAUUGAGAGGGGGCGCCAAUUGCUAGAGAGCGAGAAGGCCCGAACUGCUGCGUUGGAGGCCUCAGUAUCCGAUUGCAUCUCCGAGGAGCAAUAUUGCGAGAUUCGUCGUUGUCUUAGCUUGGUUUGGAAGGAGGCCAGCAAUUAACAGAGCAUCGCCGAGUUGGAUGCUUUGGAGGGCUGUUCCUGCCAGGAAUUAUUGUUGAAAACGCGAGACGCUGGGGAUUCCAACCAAAACAUUACCUCCAGUCUCCGGGCAAUGGUGCAAAAUGAGAGAGUGGCAGAGGCCGACCUGCGGUGACUAAUCCAGUCCAUCCGGGAUGAGAUUGAAGCUUCAGGGAAGCGUGAGGGCCCUUCGAUUGCCGAGGGGGCCGCCCUGCGAGAGGUCGGUCAAUGCAUGUCGGUGAAACUGUCAGAUCAAUACGGCCAAAUAGCCAAGCUCCAGGAGGUCGCCCGAGGUAUUCUUCCGUAAAUAUAUGUUGUGCCGGAUCAAGACAGCCUUGGUGUUGUCACUAGGCGCUGACCCGUGUGGCAGGUUUCGAUGUGGAUCUCGCAGGAUGUUGAUGUCCACUUGGGUCCGUUGAUCGAACGUGUAGUUGGAGCCUGGGAUCGCUUGGUCGACCUCCAAGAAGCUGCCGCCAACGAAGGAGCCUGACUUGUGCUUGCACGCUUGAGUCGCGCUGUAGCGAGGUCUCCACUCAUGUUGUUGCGACCUCCGUUCCUGAGAACCGCCCACUGACGGAUUUCUUUGAAGUCAAGGACACCACCUUGAUGGUGGCGACUGGAUGUGAGCCUGAAAGAGUAGGAACAUUUGUUGGCCAUGUGUGGCGUUAGGCAAUGUCAACUUUGUUACGAUUUUUAUCGUUUUUAUAUAUACGAAAAUGUAAAGUGAAAACAUAAACAAACAUAACAAAUAACUGAAUAAAAACAAAAAAUGGAGAAGAAAAAAGAAAAGAAAACAUAAAAUGAUAAGAAAAAACAAACAAAAUAAAACGAAAAAAGAAAGAAAGGA